UACGGGGGGGGGCAAGCGUUGUUCGGAAUUACUGGGCGUAAAGGGCUCGUAGGCGGCCAACUAAGUCAGACGUGAAAUCCCUCGGCUUAACCGGGGAACUGCGUCUGAUACUGGAUGGCUUGAGUGUGGGAGAGGGAUGCGGAAUUCCAGGUGUAGCGGUGAAAUGCGUAGAUAUCUGGAGGAACACCGGUGGCGAAGGCGGCAUCCUGGACCAUAACUGACGCUGAAUAGCGAAAGCCAGGGGAGCAAACGGG
rnacentral:rRNA from 1 species